AGAUAGCCCCUUCUUUUGCAUCUUGAAGUAGGUAGGACAUUCAGCUCUAACGUGUCCAAAACCUUCACAUCCGUGACACUGGAUUCCCUUGCCUUGGUUGAACUUUUCUUCAGAAGUUGAUCUUUUCCUGAUGUCAGACGAGAUGUUCUUGACAUUUGGUCUACCUUUUUGAUCAAUCUUCUUUAUGACCUUGUUGAACUGUCUCCCAAGCAUGGCUAUGGCUUCUGAUAUGCU
rnacentral:lncRNA from 1 species